ensembl:lncRNA
AGGCCAGGAAUGGGUGACCAAAGGGAUCAACCAAUUUACUGAGCCAUUUGCAGUUUCACUGUCUCAGCCAUGCAUACUUGUUAGACAUACAUGCUUUAAUCUUUGAGACAAGCAAAUGCUACUGGUAGCAUCCACCAGGCAGAUGAUCAUGUUACAAGGAGCCAGACCAUGAGAGAGUGCUCAGAGCCAUGCCAGGCAUGUGGAACAAAGGGCACUGGAAACACAGCAGUGGGGGGAGGGCCAAGGUGGGAAAGGGGGGAGGCAAACACCAGGACCUGGCCAUCCUCCCCGCCCAGGGCAAGAAUGACUGACCAUCCACAAGCAAACAAGGGUGGUGUGCCUAGGUGGCAUCCCCAGGCACAGCCCCUUGGUAGCAUGGGAGUAGGGCUGGGGCAAUGGGAACUUACGUCAAGGCUAGCCAACACAUGCUAGCAUUUGUGUGGGCAGUGGUUGAUAUAGCCAAGUUGUCUGGUCACAAAGUCUUGUGAGAGCUCACCAGAGAGUCAGCUGCCAGGGCAUGGCACUGUGUCUCACUUCUGGAGAGCACAUUGGAAGUCCUAUUGCCUUCUUGGUCCCCAGGGUACUCUCACAGGGCUUGCAACCCCUACCUCCAACAGCACAGAUCCACAGCCAGUCCAUGAGAACUCUCUCCCACACACCAGUGAUUCUUGGCCUCACAUACACCUCCUGUUGCUGAGUCCCCCAGUGGGCCCAAGAACACUUCAUCUGGGGACACUUCCAGCCAUGGCAGCCAGGGAUGAGGCAGACAGUGCAAGGCCAUUUCAGUCCCAGUUGCUGGUGGUGCUAACAAUCAUCUGCUUGGGCCAGAGAGGACCAGUGAUAAUGGAGAAGGGCAGCAGCAGGCAGGGGCAGGGCCAGUAAUUAGAAAAAGAAAGGCUCAGAUGUGAUUGGGCCGCCAGGAAAAUGAGCGUGUCAGCUCACCACUAAAGGCACAAGAUUGGUCCCACAACACUUGGGAUGUCAGCCAGUCUUGACCACUUCUAAGUCUCCUUUGACCCAGGUACACCACCAGGCCCAUGUGUAUAAGUCCUUCCAUGGAGGAACCACCCACCUGGUCACCCAUCCAUGCAGAUCUCUCCAUCUUCAUCUGCUCUGCCCCAGGCUCAUAGCCGGAGGAAAUAUUCCUGAGCAAGGCAGCCCAACCCAUGACUGCAUGUCAUUACAGGCUGUGACCAGGAUGGGAGUUGCUCACAGCGGGGGACAGAGGAGUCAGGACAGAGCACCCCCCUUGGCACUUGACUGGGGAACCACAGACGCAUGCACACACACACAGCCCUGUGCUGGACACUGGCCUGGCAGGACCCUCCCCUUGAUGUGGAGAGAUGAGGCAUGGCCCACCAUACACAAAGCUCUGUGCUUGGCUCCACUGUGUGAUCAGCAAUCCUUCACAGGAAGGUGAGGGACUCUGCUCACAGGCUGGUGCACAGGGUAGCAAGCUGGGUGGUGCAGUGCCCCAAAUGCUCCCCCUCAGAUCACUGGAGAGGGCAUUCUCACUGAGGAUACAUCAUGGUUCCCACACCCAUUGUCACCUCCCUGUCAGGCCCACAGAGGCACUUCAAGAGAUGCCAGGGCUGGGCUAGGCAUGGGGUAUUCGUGACACGAGUAAGCAAAGGGCCAACCUGAGAAUUUAGAGUGAGGGCUGGGGAAACCUUCUCUGUUUCAAGUGCUCUGUUUGCCACAUGGAGGGGCUUGCCUGAAGUCAGACUGAGCUCCCUCUUGGCAUUGCCUGGCCUACCACUAUUGUGCGCAUGCCUGUGUGCAGUCCUGGCAAAGAGGGAGCUCAUGGCAUGUGGCUGGCCAAGUUUGUUCCUCUGGCACCGUGAGGACAAACAGAAUAAGGUUCUUGCUACACAAGUGGGACAAGGUGUGCCUCCCUUACUAUCCCAACCCUGAAGAAAGCUGCUCAAAGUAAUGGGAGACCCAAGGGGCUUGCUGGGAAUAGGAAAAACACUUUGCUUGGCCUCAGGCACCUGAGGGUCAACCUGGAUCACUCCAGGAGCACCACAGAGGAGCAGGUGAGUCCUACUCACA